GCGAAGGUCACAAAACCUGACACUUUCUGUUGUACCAAAGUCUUCGCUGAUUUUGUGCAUCAACAAAACUGAUAUUCGAAAUUGGCAUAACUUAUCAUUUUGACUAUUGACAAUAAAAAUUAAUAAAAGAAGUCUUGAGUUUAUUCACUGUAAAUCAUUUUGAUAUUUCUGUAAAAAUUUAUCAAUAUCUUCUUUAAGUGAAAUCACUUUGACAAUUUUUUUUUUGAAAAGAUAGUCACGUGAUCAUUAUAACAAUUUAACAAAGAUAUUUUAAAAUAAUCACAAUCCUCAAUAAUAUGCUAUAACUAAUUAGCUAAGAAAACGUCAAGUAACUUCCCACUUUAGAAAAUCCACAUAGUUAGUAGGAAUGUUAGUCAUGUGGUCGCUAUAUAACAAUUUAACGAGGAUAUCAUAAAAAUAAUCAUAAUCCUCAAUAAUAUGUUAUAACUAAUGAGCUAAGAAAGUCACUUAGUAUUACGGUCUAGUGAUAUUUUUCUUUACUUGUAAGUGAGAUGUCUUAGGUUUGAUUCUCGCUAAAGACGAAUUUGAACCAUAUUAUUGCUAACCUAUUGUGAGGUUAACCCCACCACUCUUUUUUAGUGUAGAUAAUAUCAAUUGUUAAAAAAAAAAAAGCUAAGAAAACGUCAAACAACUUCCCACUUUGGAAAAUUCACAUAAUUAGUAGGAAUGUUAGUCACGUAAUAUUUAUAUAAUAAUUUAACGAGAAUAUUUUAAAAAUAAUCACAACCCUCAAUAAUAUGUUGUAACUAAUUAGCUAAGAAAACGUCAAGCAACUUCUCACUUUAGAAAAGAGAAGUGUUAUUGGCACUCCAAAAAUUUCAUUCUACACUCCUUAUAAGUGUAUUUUUCUUUUCAAAUAUAGAAAGUUUGAAGGAAGAAAACGAUUUUUAGAAUGCCAAUAAUAGUUCUCUUAGAAAAUACACAUAUUUAGUAGGAAUUUUAGUCCCAGGCAUGGAAAUUGGAAUGCGACAAAACACGAAUGGAAGCUACUAGUAUCCAGUUUUGUUUUGUCGUGAAUCUGCGGGUUUGUACGGACGUUGGUCGUUUUAGUCCACUUCAGUCGCGGCCAUAUUUGCUGUCGUACGUAGAUGCAUGAGCCUGUAUGGCCAAAAACGACAACAAAUUGUAGUUUGACUUUGCUUAAGUAGGGUCAUCAAUGCUUAUUACUUUAAUUUACAAGAACCAAAAGAUUUGGAUGUGCACUCCACGUAGAUAAAUGAUCAAGCAUCUAUCAAUGCUACAUCAGCCAUUAAAUUACAUGGAAUUUUAGUGUAAAUUUCAUCGCAAGUUCGGGAUGAAUUGACCAUUUUAUUGUAAUUAAUAGUCGCAUCAUUGACUGAUUAAUUAAAUAAAUGAAUAUAUUAAUUAAUCCCCAGGCAGUUAUUAUCUUGGUUUUAUUUUCGCAAUGUGACAAGGGAAUGAUACAUUGUGUGUGGCUUUAAGUCAUUGCAUCAUCCAUUACGUAUUAAUGUGAACCCAAAGUUGUUGGAACUCUCUUUAUGAAUCUGACUUGUCUUCUGUAUUUGAGAAGGACAAGGAUUGUCUGCCCUUUCAUUUUCGAUGUCAUGCCCUUCUGUUUGUGUGAUCACGGUUAAGCCAGUCAACAUUUUAUAUUAUUUUUUUAUAAAGAUAAUAAGACAAAAAUGAAUAAUAAUAUAAAAUGUUGACGUGACUUAACCGUAACUACACAAACAUGAGGGCACGAGAGGGCACGAGAGGGCACAAGAAGUGGGAGGGUAGACAAUCCUUAUCCAUUUGAGAAAGGAUAAAUGAUGUGGGAUAUUUUAAAAUAUACGAACAUAU
rnacentral:lncRNA from 1 species